rnacentral:lncRNA from 1 species
AGCGGCUUGGCCCCCAGGCGUCUGUGGCAGUGCGUCCCCUCUCCGCGGGAUCGUCGCCAUGGUCCUGCGAUCCUAGGAGUCGGGCAAGGCCGAACCUGCCUGAAGAAACCUCAAGCGGAGAUUCAAGGAAGCACCACGUGAUCCCUAAGGAUCCCAAAGAUGCGUCGGGCAUGCAUGGGCGGUGUGAGGGUGCGUCUCCCUGACAGGUGUCCCCGCUGGGAUUUCGAGAAAGAAGACCAGCACACGACAACCAAGAACAAAUUCCUCCAGGGGCCCAUGGUCCUGCGGCACACCCAAGGCUGGACGGACC